CCCCAGACUCCUACGGGAGGCAGCAGUGGGGAAUAUUGCACAAUGGGGGAAACCCUGAUGCAGCGACGCCGCGUGAGUGAAGAAGUACUUCGUUAUGUAAAGCUCUAUCGGCAGGGAAGAAAAUGACGGUACCUGAGUAAGAAGCCCCGGCUAACUACGUGCCAGCAGCCGCGGUAAUACGUAGGGGGCAAGCGUUAUCCGGAUUUACUGGGUGUAAAGGGAGCGUAGACGGUAUGGCAAGUCUGAAGUGAAAGCCCAGGGCUUAACCCUGGGACUGCUUUGGAAACUGUUAGACUAGAGUGCUGGAGAGGGAAGUGGAAUUCCUAGUGUAGCGGUGAAAUGCGUAGAUAUUAGGAGGAACACCAGUGGCGAAGGCGGCUUACUGGACAGUAACUGACGUUGAGGCUCGAAAGCGUGGGGAGCAAACAGGAUUAGAUACCCCAGUAAAU
rnacentral:rRNA from 1 species